UACUUGAACUCUACCACUGUUUGUUGCUGGGAACUAGGUGUAAAAUUUGCUCAAAGAUAUGCUUUCAGGUUUCUGGAUCACAGACUUAGUGCAUAAGGCUGAAACUAGGUUUUAGUGUGUUGAGCUCCACUUUGGUGCUUCAUAAAAAUUAUUCUAAAUGUUUUCAACCUAGGGGUGCUAUACCAAAGUUGUAGAGCUAUAUCUAAGGAAUAACUUUGGUAAUGUGAGCUUGGUGUGUUGCUGUGUAAAAGUUGGAGAAAAGGUUGGCUAAAGUUGGACUGUCAGGCUGAACACAACUGAAUUUUUUCAGUUAUGUGAACUGAAUUGCAGCAGUAUGCCUAGUUUGGAAUACAUUUGUGACUGAUUCAUGGGGUUUUGGAUUAAAGUUUACAUAGAAAAGCUGGAGACCAUAGUAAAGAGAGUAAGUUUUGUAAAGUGAGGUGGACUUGGUUCCACAUAAAUUUGGAAAUAAAAGUGGCCAAAAGGUGGAUUGUCAGGUGUUAGGAUUCAGACUUAGAAUAAUAUUUAAGUCUGAAUUUGUGUGUUUAUUCAGUUUUGGGUCCUUGUGGUAAUUAAUCCAAGAAGAAUUGGGGUAAGAAUGCUAUAGCAAAGUCAAAGACCAUGUAAAGGAGAGCAAGUCUCAUGCAAAGUGUUGGCUUGCUACUUUGUAGAAUUUGGAGAAAAAUGAGUGACAAAACUCUCUGUUAGACCUAGUAAUGUGCUGUUUCAGAUUGGGAAAAUGGAUUUUCCGUGUGUUUGCUCAACUUUAAUGCACCCUAACGCUUGGUAUGUAUGGUUAUAAGCUAAAGACCUUACAGAAGAGAUUUGUAGCUGUGUUGGGUGAACAAGUUUCUUACAGAGAAAUAAGUUUGGAGCUGUAUAAAAUUUAGAAUAAAAUGUGCCUAAGUUUCUUCUGUCAGUCUGUGUGAGAUGUCUGUUUUAGAAAACUAAAAACAAGUUUAGUGGAAGGUGGCUGAAUUUUGGACACCUUAACUUGUAGUACAUGCAAUUUGGAUCCUUGCUUAAGGCAUAAAUGAAGCACUUGGUUGGUUAUGGAGGCAAGGUUUCCUAGUUUGGUUGGUGAAUUGUGUUGUGAUAUUAGAGUAUUUAGCUCUCUUAAUGUUUUGUUAGUUUUUUUGUGUGCACCUUUAGAGAGGUGUAAGUGUUGUGAUGUUUUUUUUAGUAUUUUCUUUUCAAGUUGCAUAAGCAUAAACAUCCAUGAUCAUGUCAUUUCAUAUAGAACUCCUACCAGAAGGAGUGAAGAUUCAACCUGAAGUGGUGACUGAAGAGGAAUCUACUCCAGUGCCUAUUCAUCAAGUGGAUGGAGCUAUCUAACUGGUUAUUGGGUAGAAAGGUAUUAAGUCUCUUCACUGCAACAAAGGCAAGCCCCGAUGCAUUUACCCCUUCCUUGUAUUUUUAAAAAGACUUUUAUACACUUAAGUCUAGUGAAAUGUGCAUUAAGUUUAUAGGAGUUGCUUGGAAACUAUUGGAUGCAUUGCCUACCUUGAUAUCCAUACCUUUAUAGAUACUUCUGAUGAAGUAUCAAAAUAUGAUUUACAAAAAUGCUUAGCCCUGCAUAGAUCUUGUGGAUAGAGGCUGUCUUUUGCAAUAAUGCCUAGCUCAGGGGUUAUCCCGAGGAAGGAUGGCUUCUACCUGCAAGAAUAUUUUUAUUGGAAGCGGGGUGGGAUCUUACUGCAAAGUUCCCUAUAAUGCUCUUUUCAUCCUAAGGAACACAAACAAUCCUAAGGAUGGAAGUACUUAAAUCGGGACUUGGGCUAUGGAACAGGUGAUGUUCUACCCAGGUUAGUUAAGGAUUGGAUGCGUAUGUAGGCCUGUUGAUCAAGGACUAUCUUAACUAGCCACAUGCCCUAGAAAUGGGACAGGGUAAGCUUGAACCCGACUAUUCCAUACAUGAAAAGACAAUCGCGCACUGGGAGUGGAGAGAUGGCGAGAGUGGAACGUACCCUCCUAGCAAAGGACCGCCUAAAAAGGGUGGUGUGCUCUCGGGUGGCGCGGACCUGUUCAUGCAGUGGAGGAUCCGUGGGAAUGGUAGACAUGCAAGGUUUACGAGAAACAUAUGUCGUGUGGUUAGACAUCCUCAGCUGAGUAAAUCGAUUUAGAUCGCCGUUAUAUCCCCGGAGAGUGGAGACUUGAUCUCCGACCUACAACCUAAGUCAGGAUGUAAACAUUAUGAAUAAAAAUGAUGUUGUAUUGAUGAGAUGGUGAAAUUAGACUAGAUGCUACCAGAGUCUAUUAAUAUUUAAUCCGGCGUUAAAAUAUUGAAAGUAAGGACUCACUUUAGUAAGCUAUUUCUGCAAAAGUAUCUAAGUUGAUUCUUGCUAAAGCCUUUUCCUUGAUUCCUACUUAACCAGCAUAUCCUUGAGAGUCAUUUUUCCUUAGUCGGGUAAGACUUGCGAAAGUACACUCCGUACUCAGGGUUUUCGAACCCAUGUUGUUGUAGGUGAUGAGGAGUACUCUAUAUGUUCGUGAGGCUGGAGAGCGUUUCCAGUUCUAGAGGAGGACUAGCUAGGUUUAUGUAUAAGCUUUGGAGGGUUUCUACCUUCCUGCUUUUGUAAUAAGUUAUGCACUUUGAGUAUAUCAGGACUUGUAAUAAAUAUUACUCUUUCGAAACAUGUAAAACUUGAGUUUUGAAAAGGUAAAGAAUGUUUGUAAAGUCUUCCGCUCUUUAUCUCCAAAGUGUGUGUAUCGAAUGUGAUUACUGUAAUAUGCAUGUAUGGUGGGAGAUCCUUGGGAUGAUGAGUUCAAGUGGUUGAACUCGUGAUAGCCUUGUUAAGUUAUGUGGUACACGUGCAUAGCCAUCUGAGGCCAUCAAGGCAAGGAUUGGUGCAUGUGGGCCUGAUAACUUGGGAGGGCUGCCACAGAUUGGUAUCGGAGCGAUCCCCCAUUAGCAUGGAUAUUAAAGUAAUCCUUUGAUAGACUUCAAAAGGAUUUUGAGUCGAAAUUAUUUUGAAAAACUUAAGAAUGAAUAAGCAAAUCCUGAUAGUCGAAGUGCAAAUAGUAUAUGGUUAAGUUAAGGACUAUAAGGUGGCUUAGUUAGGAUGCUAACCACUAACCCGCAACUAUAAUGCAAUUUUCUGCAGGUACACUAACUAAACCCUAGGUAAGUGUGACUAGUGAUCAAUAAUGGAGUGAGUAGGUAUGCCAUCGCCAUAGAACGUGAAAUCCACUAUAUGUUGGCAAGAAUUGUGAGGACGAAUAGGACGAGCAUGCAUCAUGACAUACAAUUUUAAGUUAAGCCCCCUAUAUUGUAGCUUAGUACAUGUUUCAUCCAUCCUAUUCAUGCUACCUAUCUUUGCUUUUCUAUACUACCUUUUCCUAUUCGUGAAGCCUUGAAACUCAGUCCAUUUGGUGGACCUGUAGUUUAUAAGGUACAGUGCUAAAGAAUUUUUCAACAGUGCACAACAUGUUCUACGUGUCCCCGUUAAAGAAAUGUCUUCGAGUCCCCAAGCAUGUUAUUGAGAUUUCAGAUGUUAACCUUGGACCAGAUUUAACCUACUUGAAAUAUCCCAUAAAGGUGUUGGAUCUAAAGGAUCAGGUCACUCGAAGAAAAGCUAUCAAGUUUUACUAGAUAUAGUGGAACCAACACAUGGAAGACGAAGCCAUAUGGGUAUCGGAGGGAUAUUUCGAAAGGCAUUCCCUGAGUUUCGAGUUCCUUGUAAAUCCUAAGGUUUGUGUAGUUGUUUCUGAUAUAAACCAAUAGGGGCACACCCCUGCUUUGUAGGAGUAAUGGGGAAAUAAGCCAGUGACGCAUUUCCUUUUCCGUUACUAAGCCUAGAGUUUUAAAUCUCGGGACGAGAUUUCUUUUUAGGGGGGGGGAAGGUUGUAACACCCCUGGUGUUACGAUAACUAAAACGCUAGCAUGUCAUCGUAAGUACUUGCAUUAUCUUGUUUGAUAUACCUAGAAUGCAUUUACUAGGUUAAAAUUUUCUUUUCAAAAGUGUGAUGUCGUGUGUUGAGUAUAAGACUUAGGUUGAAAACCUUGCUUGGAAUUGUGGAUAAACAAAAUAACUCCGAAAACAAGGACUUGUUGGGAAGGAGCUACAUAUGCUAAAGUCAGAUCUUAGACUAGAGAGUAACUUUGUUUUUGAUGGAUGGAUCAAAGGGAUGAAUCCCUGGAAGAAGCUGAAACACAGAUGAAACUCAUUUGAAAGCCUAAACUAACCCCAAAUGUGGAAUUUAAAAUCUAGAAGGAUUUAGCUAAAAGUCCAUAUACCAAGGUUGUAGAACUUGGAAAAGUGAACAAAUUUCAUAUCUGGAGAAUUCCAAGUUGUGUGGAGAAAUUUGGAGUAAUUUGCAAAAUUUCAGAUUGGGUUCAGUUUGAAUUGGGCUGAAAACAGUUUCAUAUAGCUGUUUGGACCCUUAUAACUUUUGAUCUAUGGACUUUUGGUAAGGAGUUAUUAUAACAAACUUGUAAAGUGACUGUUGGAGAACAAUCCUUAUUAAGUGUACCAGCCCUAAAACUAUAUGCAACUGGCUGAAAAAGUGGUCCAAUUUAGGGCUGUCAGAUUUCAGACUUAGUGUAAAUGCAAAUCCUGAAUUUCAGUGUUUUGGUGUAACUUUGGAGCUCUCUAUUGCUCUAUCCAUAGGGUUAUAGGUUAUGAUGAUUAUAACACAAUUAUAGAUCUAAAUGAGGAGUAUAAGUUUGAUUAAGACACUUAGCCCUAAAGUUAUUUGGAACCUAGAGAAAAGCUGGUCUAAAGUAGAGCUGUCUGAAAGUGUGGAUUUCAGACUUAGUAAAUUUCAGUCUGAAUUUCAGUAAUUUGGGCAAACUUUGGACCUCUGUAGUUUGGAAUCUAUGAGGGUUUAGAUAUGGGUCACUAUGUCAAAGUUGUAGAUGAACUAUAGGAGUAUAAACUUUAUUAAGCAACUUGCCCCUAAAACCAUAUGUUACUAGGAGUAAAGGUGGUUCAAAGUGGGGUGAGCUGAAUUCUAAAUUUUCAGAUUUAGAAUAGUGCCUAAGUCUGAAUUUCAGUGAUUGUGACAAACUUGGGAGCUUCCUUGUGCCUAAUCCAUAAGGUUUUGAACUGUGGUGUAUAUAGUGGAGUUGAAGCCCAUAUGAUGUUGAACAAGUUUAUUCAAGUGAGUUUGACAUGAUCGUACACAGAAAUUGGAGAAAAGAGAAUUGCAAAACUCCGUGUCAGGUUUAAGGUGUGCUGUUUCAAAUAACUGAAACCGAAAAUUCAGUACAUAGUGCCAAAUUCGGAGCUCUGUUGUGGUCAAUCUAUAUGGUGUUGGACUAAAGGUUCUAUGGUAAAUAUAGAGACCAAAUAAAGGGAACGAAUUCCUUGAGAAGAGUUGGAUUUGCUGCUGUGUAAAAAAUGGGUAAAAUGUCUCAAAACUUCCACUGACAGGUAUAUAGUUUCAGUCAAGCUGAAACUGAAACUUUAAGUGUUUUCAACCUAUUUUUGAAGCACUAUAACUCUUGAUCCAUAAAUCUUUGACCUAAGGCUGAUGCACAAAACUUGUAAAGGUAUGUUUGGUGAACAAGUUCCUCUAGAAAAGGUUGGCUUGGUACUGCAUAAAAAGUGGAGUAAUAGUUUCUUAAAAUAGGUGCUGUCAAACUUCUGAAUUUUUAGAUUUUGAAUAGUGUCUGAAUUCUAAGUCAGUGUUGGGAGUGCUGUUUGGGGAGCUUGUUCUGCUUAAUAAAUAAGGUUUUGGACUGAUGUUUUUGUAGAAAGUUUGAAGACCAUAUGUUAGUGAAUAAGUGUCUUUAAUUGUGUUGGGCAUGAUCCCGCACCAAAAGUGAAGUAAUGGUUGUCCAAAGUUGGACUUUCAGUCUACGGAAACUGAAGAUUAUUCAGUUAACUCUAGCUUUGGUCCAGUGUGAUUUUCCAAAUUUUUGGAGCUAUUUUGUGACUGAUCCAUGAGGUAUAAAGCUAUAAUCCUUAUGACUAGUUGGUAGAGGGUUGUUUGGUGGACAGAUUCCCUUAUGUGUGCUCCCACUGUUGUUAUGGAAAACUGAGAGAUCAAAGGGGAGUUGUUAUGGAAAACUGAGAGAUCAAAGGGGAGGAAGUAGAGUAUGCAGUCAAGUAGUACCAGUUCAGUGCUGCUCCAGAAAUAUCCGAGAAAAUAUCUGUAUCCACUAUCUGCUCGAGGGACUUCCGGAGUUUGGCAUCUAAGGAGAUAUGUUACUGAAGGGGGGGUACUUGGCACCCAUGCACACACAAAGAAGUGAUGAGGAGGUGGAAAACUUAUCCAAAUGCUGGCUAGGCUGUCUGCUGCUAUAUUGCUGCUGUCCAUGUGCGGUUGGACACAACUACUAUCUCCCUGUGUCAUGCCUUGCGUGGAAGACAUGCAGUGGAUAAGUGGAACAUAUUACCCCUUGUUUUCCCCUUCUAGGAACACCUAUGGGCGCAGGCACAAGAAGGGAACCUCCACCAAUAAGGCAACCGAGCUAGAAGAGCUGGAAGAAUAGGAAAGGAAGCAAGCAAUCAGGCAGCCGAAUUGGAAGCAAUCAGGCGAGUCCUAUCUCCAGUAUAUCAAUCAGUAGUUUCCUAUUUCUGCUAUAGCAGACAGUAGAGUUUCCUAUUUCCAUUAUAGAAAGUAAUAAGUUGAUUGGGUGUGUUCCCUGCCGCCUAUACUAUAAAGGCUGGCUGCUAGUUUGUAAUAAGGCAUCGAAGAAUAAUACAGUUACCU